AUGCUCCAUGCUCCAUGCUCCAUGCUCCAUGCUCCAUGCUCCAUGCUCCAUGCUCCAUGCUCCAUGCUNGCUGGCUCGGGCCCGGACUCGGGGUGCAGGGCACUGGGGGGCGCGCAGUUUCUCCGUGAUGAUCCUCCACAGACCUGUCCUGACGGCGCAGUGAUUGCACUUUCUGAUCUGACGAGAGACGGGCGCCCCGCCGGGAGCCGGCCCCGCGCCCACGUGGUCUCCCCGAGGGCCCUCAGCCGGUGGCGUUAUAUAGCGCCUUGCAGCGCACGGGCUAGCUCCCCGGGGCCACGGGGGUAGACUCCCUGGCUGUGCCGUUCCGCAGAGGAGGGCGGCGGUCAGUGUAGUUUGGAGGCCGUGGAGCAGCUGCGGGUCUCGGGUGUGUCCGGACUCGUGAGCAGGGGGUCGGGCCUGGAGCACGUGUCGGUCCCGGGUCCGAGGACUGAUCUCUCUCUCUUUCUCUUCCAGCGCCUCCUGGUCAGUGUGCGGCCUGCAGGUAAGACUGCCCGUCGUGUCCCGCACCGAUAGGCCGAGGGCCGCUCCGAGUGUGCCCCGCUGUGACACGAGCACGGCCUGGAGGGGCUGUGGUCCGGUCUGGCCCGGGGGUCCGGCUGUGGGCCGGUUUGACCUGGGGUUCUGGUGCCGUGCCGGGGGCGCUGGCCCCUCUGUGUGCCUCAGUGCUGCGGUGAUGUGGAUGAAUUCUCUCUUCCUGACUGAUCGUGGAGAAAAUCCUUUACCAGAUUCUGAGCAGCGCCGGGGCCUGGAGGGCUCCAGUUGGGUCCGGGCCGGGUGUUACCGCAGAGCGCUCUGAGACCGGGGGCUGGGCUGGGGGGUUGCAGUCAGUUCAACUCACGGUGCUUUGUUAGCAUGACCGAUGGGAACAAUCAGUGUUGCCAAAGCAAAUGAAAGUAAUGAAAUUCACAUAAAAUAAAAUCUCCAGACGUUUACAACAGACAUUAUAAAAUAUUGACAUAUACUGUAGACAGGAGGAGCAUUGUGUAGUGGUCUCUCAGGCCUGGUGGGGGCGCUGUCUGAGCUGGAAUAAAAGCCUGUGCCCUCCGGGUGGGGUCAGGCUGCUCAGGGCUGGACUGAUCCUCAUCUCCUCCUCUCUUCCAGAUGUGCUCGAACCCGCAGCUCCUCGGGGUUACUGCUGGCUCUCAGGUAAGCCCGCGGGCGGUC
rnacentral:lncRNA from 1 species